rnacentral:tRNA from 2 species
GCGGAUGUGGCGGAACUGGUAGACGCGCUGGAUUUAGGAUCCAGUGGAGCAAUCCGUGGAGGUUCGAGUCCUCUCAUCCGCACCA